UACGUAGGUGGCAAGCGUUGUCCGGAUUUACUGGGCGUAAAGAGCGCGCAGGCGGUCGAUCAAGUCGCGUGUGAAAGCCCCCGGCUCAACUGGGGAGGGUCACGCGAUACUGAUCGACUCGAAGGCAGGAGAGGGUAGUGGAAUUCCCGGUGUAGUGGUGAAAUGCGUAGAGUAUCUGGAGGAACACCGGUGGCGAAGGCGGCAUCCUGGACCAACACUGACACUGAGGAGCGAAAGCCAGGGGAGCAAACGGG
rnacentral:rRNA from 1 species